CCCGCACAAGCGGUGGAGUAUGUGGUUUAAUUCGAUGCAACGCGAAGAACCUUACCUGGUCUUGACAUCCCGGAGACCCUUAGGAAACUAGGGGGUGCUUCCAUCUGGAAGAAUCUGGAGACAGGUGCUGCAUGGCUGUCGUCAGCUCGUGUCGUGAGAUGUUGGGUUAAGUCCCGCAACGAGCGCAACCCUUGCCUUUAGUUGCCAGCAGUUCGGCUGGGCACUCUAAAGGGACUGCCAGUGUUAAACCGGAGGAAGGUGGGGAUGACGUCAAGUCCUCAUGGCCUUUAUGACCAGGGCUACACACGUACUACAAUGGCCGAUACAAAGGGCAGCGACACUGCGAGGUGAAGCCAAUCCCGUAAAAUCGGUCUCAGUCCGGAUUGGAGUCUGCAACUCGACUCCAUGAAGUUGGAAUCGCUAGUAAUCGUGGAUCAGCAUGCCACGGUGAAUACGUUCCCGGGCCUU
rnacentral:rRNA from 1 species